GAUGAAGAACGUAGCGAAAUGCGAUACGUAAUGUGAAUUGCAAAUUCAGUGAAUCAUCGAGUCUUUGAACGCACAUUGCGCCCCCAGGUAUUCCGGGGGGCAUGCCUGUCCGAGCGUCAUUGCUGCCCUCAAGCACGGCUUGUGUGUUGGGCCCCGUCCUCCGAUCCCGGGGGACGGGCCCGAAAGGCAGCGGCGGCACCGCGUCCGGUCCUCGAGCGUAUGGGGCUUUGUCACCCGCUCUGUAGGCCCGGCCGGCGCUUGCCGAUCAACCCAAAUUUUUUAUCCAGGUUGACCUCGGAUCAGGUAGGGAUACCCGCUGAACUUAAGCAUAUCAAUAAGCGGAGGA
rnacentral:misc_RNA from 1 species